CUGGGUACAAAACUAGAAUAUAUAUAUAUCACGCCCUCAGUUUUACAUCUCUCUGUUAUGAAGAUUAUAGGUUACCCCAAUUCUUCUCUCUUUCACCAUCAUUCAAAACCUUCUCUUUUCUCAAUCCUCUUAUAAGUUUGUUUAAUUACUCUGAUUCAAAAUUAAAUGUUGUAGUACAAGGUGAAUCUAGAGGAAAUUAGAUCUCUUAAAUUGGGAGGAAGAGGUUGGUAAACCCUAGGUUUUGAUAUUUCCAAUGGGUCUUUAUUUCUAAGAUUUUGAAGGCUAUGAAGUACACUGAGCACUACGUCGGAGUUCCGUCAUAUCAAGUUAUCGUCCUUGCGUACCUUGCUGUUGAGGCGCUAUCUUUACGAAGUAAAUUAUGUUAUAGAAGAACUCCAAAAGUGCCAAUGAUGAUGCUGAUGAUGCAAAGACAUUAAAGAAAUUCUCAAAGCUUAAUCCUUAAGGGGGCAGUCUAAAACAUAUUGAUUCUCUAAAGGAUGAUGCAAGUGAUCAAAAGAAAGGAUAAGAUAAGAACAUGAAGAAGAAAAAGAAGAAAGGGCCAACCAGUGACUCUAAGCACGAGAGUGAAUACAAGAAGGGUUUGAGACCUGUUCUCUGGAUGACCCCAAGCUUUCCUUUGACAACAGAGGAGCUUUUGCCAUUUCUAGAUAUAUUAGAGAAUAAGGUUAUGGUUGUUAAGAGACUUCGAGAACUUUUAACCCACUAAGCUACCACUCGGGACAAUCCUGUCAAGGUUUUUUAUAGAAGUUUCCCAAGGUCAAAACAUCACUAUUUUACAGGAAGCUUGUACUCAAUCUGUAAUUUCUGCUCUCAUUGCUAAUUAAGUUGUUGUUGUCGCUGCUGCCUCUGUUGCUAUUGUCGCGCGCUACUGCCUCUGUUGCUGUUGUCGCUGCUGCUUUAAUUGGUGCAGUUAAUUAUACUACCUUGUUCAAUUAAUAUCAAUCUAAUCAUUGUACAAUUGACCAGGAAGAAAUAAUUGUAUUACACUAGUAAUUAUUUGGAAUACGUGUUUUGUUGGUUGAAUUA